CUGGCGGCGUGCUUAACACAUGCAAGUCGAACGCGAAAGGGACUUCGGUCCUGAGUAAAGUGGCGCACGGGUGAGUAACGCGUAGAUAACCUGUCUUCAUGUCUGGAAUAAUACGCCGAAAGGGGUACUAAUACCGGAUAUUCUUGCUUUUCAUAAGUUAUGCAAGCAAAGGUGGCCUCUGCAUAUGCUACUGCAUGAAGAGGGGUCUGCGUACCAUUAGCUAGUAGGUGGGGUAAUGGCCUACCUAGGCGACGAUGGUUAGCGGGUCUGAGAGGAUGAUCCGCCACACUGGCACUGGAACACGGGCCAGACUCCUACGGGAGGCAGCAGUGAGGAAUAUUGCGCAAUGGGGGAAACCCUGACGCAGCGACGCCGCGUGAGUGAGGAAGGCCUUCGGGUCGUAAAGCUCUGUCAAGAGGAAAGAAGUGUACAAUGGCUAAUACCUGUUGUAUUUGACGGUACCUCUAAAGGAAGCACCGGCUAACUCCGUGCCAGCAGCAGC
rnacentral:rRNA from 1 species